rnacentral:lncRNA from 1 species
UGCUCCGUGAACACCAUCUGUAGCCUCAGCAAGGGGGCUGUGUGCGAGGUGAAAAGGGGGCUGAGUCUAGAAGGACAAAGCCUGGCCUGUGGGACUGGCUCUGCCGCUUACUGGGGCCUCGUGCAAGGCACUCAGCUUCUCAGAGCUUUGUAAUACUCCCAACCUUCCCACCUCACAAGGCCUCCGGCAGGAUGUGUCACACUUUGUAAAUGGAAAAUCUUUCGGAAUAAGGGCUCCUCAGAGGAAGCGGCAAGUAUCAUCUGAGCCCGAUGGCACAAGCACAGUCCUACCACAUAACUUUCCUCAAAAAACCGUUGGGCGAGUCCACAUAGGCUUUCUACUCUGUUCCUUUGGUUUGCAUGUCUAUCCGUUUGGAAAUCCCACACUGACUUCAUCACUGCAGCUUUGUAGGAAGUCUGGGCAUCAGGACACCUACCACAGCAUGGCUUGCCAAACAGUGCCAUGUCUACACCUGGGAUCUGAACCAGCGAACCCCAAGCUGCUGAAGCAGAACGUGCACACCUAAUGCUGUGCCACCAGAGCUCCUGCUGAGCAGCGUUGCCUUCUUCCAGAGGAUCCAGCCUCGCCACCACCUUCAGGCAUAUGGCUGUGUGGGUCUCCCAGACGUCUCCUGUGUUGUAUGUGUGUCCUCUGUUGGUGUUUGAAUGUCCUUUUCGUUGUAUUUUAGAGGAGAGAGCCUGAGGGAAGAGCUCACUCCACCAUGAUGCUGACAUCACUCCCAGUUCUAUUUUUCCUGAGUCCAGAUAUGAGUCAACAUCAUAUUACUCUCACGUCCCAACUCUGCAAGGGAGUCCAGUCCUCCUUUGCCAGAUUUUGAUGGGAUCCACCCCUUUAUCAGCCACAGAGAUGCCGUCUCUGAUAUUCCCAUGUGAUUCUAACCUGUUAUGGUAUAGACAGACCUGUGACCUCCACUACGACUGUGGUGCCUUGCCUUUAUGCUCUCUCAGCUUUAUGGCCUCUAAAAAUAGCAG